rnacentral:rRNA from 1 species
AUUGAACGCUGGCGGCAUGCCUUACACAUGCAAGUCGAACGGCAGCACGGGGCAACCUGGUGGCGAGUGGCGAACGGGUGAGUAAUGCAUCGGAACGUACCUUUCAGUGGGGGAUAACGUAGCGAAAGUUACGCUAAUACCGCAUAUUCUGUGAGCAGGAAAGCAGGGGAUCGCAAGACCCUGCGCCGAUUGAGCGGCCGAUGUCAGAUUAGCUAGCUGGUGAGGUAAAGGGUCACCAAGGCGACGAUCUGCAGCGGGUUAGAGAGGAUGAUCCGCCACACUGGAACUGAGACACGGUCCAGACUCCUACGGGAGGCAGCAGUGGGGAAUUUUGGACAAUGGGGGCAACCCUGAUCCAGCCAUGCCGCGUGAGUGAAGAAGGCCUUCGGGUUGUAAAGCUCUUUCGGCCGGGAAGAAAUCGCACGGCUAAUACCCUGUGUGGAUGACGGUACCGGAAUAAGAAGCACCGGCUAACUACGUGCCAGCCGCCGCAGUAAUAC